CUAAUUCUCUGGGAAGCUUUAAAUGUUUAUGUAAGAAUGAGUGGGUAUUAAAAAAAACAAGUUGUACAGCUCCUUCUACUAUUUUUUCAAGUGUAUUUAAAAGUUCCGUUAAAGUUAAAUAUAUACCUUUUAAAGACACUGUGGUAUUUAAGUUUGUGGAAGUUUUUAUCUGUCGUUUGAAAAACCUUUUUGAUGUUAUAAAUUUAAGUAAAUGUUAUGCUGCUUUACAAUUUAACCCAAGUAUUACAAACAUAGUUAGUCUUGGAACUGGAAAUCCAAAAACAAGUCGUAAAAGACGAGAUGUUGCUUAUGAUAAUUCACCACUUAAUGAUGGAGAAAUUUAUGCCAUAUUUUUCCGUGGUUACACAUCUGAUGGCCAAAAUUUUACCUCACCCUACUCUCAACCU
rnacentral:lncRNA from 1 species